rfam:Gossypium hirsutum cultivar TM-1 chromosome 9, whole genome shotgun sequence
AUUCCAUGAUGAGGGCAUUUCUGUAAUAAUUCUUUAUACCCUUCCCUUGCCUCAUACAAGGACUCAUCAUCCAUUUCUUGGAAGGCAGUGAUCUCGUUCUUCAACUU